AUUCAAGAUACAAAUAUGUACAUAUCAAAACAUUAGGGUAUGAGAGUUCAUCUGAGCUGAGACUGGGCCCAGACAACCAGGCAGCAUUUCUGCAUAGGUGUGAUGUGUAUGGCUUUCUCUUUGUCUAUCUGCAAUAACCUAAGCAAGCAACGGUUACACAAAAGCAUGGCCAGGUGGUUUCUGACAGCCAAACUGGAAUGAAGAGCGAGGGAUGUGAAGAGAUAAAAACAGAGAUGGAUUGAAUCUCAAGCGGUUCGCUCAGUGGAUGAAAGUGUAAUUUAUUACAGUCUACUCAAGGGAGACCAAAUAUUCUUCCCCGGCACUUUUCCCGUCGUCUGGUGUCUGUCGAGAUGAGGGAUGGGGAUAUAUUAGCGCAAGUCGUUCUCCAGGUAUUCCUGAAAACCUGCAAAGCACUACCCUGCAAGAGCAUGACCAGCUCACACCCAUGUCUCAUGGGUCAAAAUAGCAUCUAAAUUCUACUUAAACAUCCAUAAAUCUUUU